rnacentral:rRNA from 1 species
UAGGGAAUCUUCCGCAAUGGACGAAAGUCUGACGGAGCAACGCCGCGUGAGUGAAGAAGGAUUUCGGUUCGUAAAACUCUGUUGUUAGGGAAGAAAAAAUGUAUAGUAACUAUAUACAAAAGAGACGGUACCUAACCAGAAAGCCACGGCUAACUACGUGCCAGCAGCCGCGGUAAUACGUAGGUGGCAAGCGUUGUCCGGAAUUAUUGGGCGUAAAGCGCGCGCAGGUGGUUUAGAAAGUCUGAUGUGAAAGCCCACGGCUCAACCGUGGAGGGUCAUUGGAAACUAAUAAACUUGAGUGCAGGAGAGAAAAGUGGAAUUCCUAGUGUAGCGGUGAAAUGCGUAGAGAUUAGGAGGAACACCGGUGGCGAAAGCGGCUAUCUGGACAGUAACUGACGCUGAGGCGCGAAAGCGUGGGGAGCAAACAGG